GUAGGUGCCUGGCAGGGGUUACCAUGAUCAAGAAGGCGAUUCACCCAGAGGGAAGCUCAGCCAUUGCACUCCAGGUCAUGCUAACCCUUGCAGAUUCCCCAAAUGUGGGAAUCUCCACUACAUUCAUUAUUACACAGGAUGAGAUGUUACAAUCCCUUGUG